rfam:Candidatus Melainabacteria bacterium GWF2_37_15 gwf2_scaffold_17439, whole genome shotgun sequence.
CCUGGUGGCCAAGCGGCAGGAAAACACCCGUUCCCAUCCCGAACACGGUCGUAAAGACUGCUUGCGGCGACAAUACUCGGAGGGAGACUUCCCGGGAAGAUAGCUAGUUGCCAGGA